AUUGAACGCUGGCGGCAUGCCUUACACAUGCAAGUCGAACGGUAACAGGUCUUCGGAUGCUGACGAGUGGCGAACGGGUGAGUAAUACAUCGGAACGUGCCCGAUCGUGGGGGAUAACGAGGCGAAAGCUUUGCUAAUACCGCAUACGAUCUACGGAUGAAAGCGGGGGAUCUUCGGACCUCGCGCGGACGGAGCGGCCGAUGGCAGAUUAGGUAGUUGGUGGGAUAAAAGCUUACCAAGCCGACGAUCUGUAGCUGGUCUGAGAGGAUGAUCAGCCACACUGGGACUGAGACACGGCCCAGACUCCUACGGGAGGCAGCAGUGGGGAAUUUUGGACAAUGGGCGAAAGCCUGAUCCAGCCAUGCCGCGUGCAGGAUGAAGGCCUUCGGGUUGUAAACUGCUUUUGUACGGAACGAAAAGCCUCUUUCUAAUAAAGAGGGGUCAUGACGGUACCGUAGGAAUAAGCACCGGCUAACUACGUGCCAGCAGCCGCGGUAAUACGUAGGGUGCAAGCGUUAAUCGGAAUUACUGGGCGUAAAGCGUGCGCAGGCGGUUUUGUAAGACAGAGGUGAAAUCCCCGGGCUCAACCUGGGAACUGCCUUUGUGACUGCAAGGCUGGAGUGCGGCAGAGGGGGAUGGAAUUCCGCGUGUAGCAGUGAAAUGCGUAGAUAUGCGGAGGAACACCGAUGGCGAAGCAAUCCCCUGGGCCUGCACUGACGCUCAUGCACGAAAGCGUGGGGAGCAAACAGG
rnacentral:rRNA from 1 species